UUUCAUUUUCUUUCCUUGUUUUCUUUUCAUUUCCUUUUUUUUCUUGCUCCCUUCCUUCUCCCAACUUCUUGUGCACCAAAGUUACAACUUCGAACCCCAAUUUUCAGCACAUCUAAAGCCUAAGAGAAGAAGAAAGAAAAAGAGAGAAAGGAAGAAAAAGCUUAAUUUUGUAAUUCAAGCAAGCUAAGCUAUGGUGGCCAUGGGUGUGAGAGAAUUAUGAAUUUUGUUGGAUGAAAUCCAAGCCAAAACCAAGUGGAGGCAGCCGGUAACUAGGUCGAGGUGUUCUCGUAGAUUCAUUUCCUUGGUAGGUAUCUCGUCAUUCAAUAGCUGAACUUUCGCCCGAGUCUCUCCGCUGGGAGUCGAGUAUCCCUUUUGUU